rnacentral:rRNA from 1 species
CGAACGGGUGAGUAACGCGUGAGGAACCUGCCUCAAAGAGGGGGACAACAGUUGGAAACGACUGCUAAUACCGCAUAAGCCCACGGCUCGGCAUCGAGCAGAGGGAAAAGGAGCAAUCCGCUUUGAGAUGGCCUCGCGUCCGAUUGGCUAGUUGGUGAGGUAACGGCCCACCAAGGCGACGAUCGGUAGCCGGACUGAGAGGUUGAACGGCCACAUUGGGACUGAGACACGGCCCAG